UACGUAGGGGGCAAGCGUUGUCCGGAUUUAUUGGGCGUAAAGAGCGUGUAGGCGGCCAGACAGGUCCGUUGUGAAAACUCGAGGCUCAACCUCGAGACGUCGAUGGAAACCGUCUGGCUAGAGUCCGGAAGAGGAGUGUGGAAUUCCUGGUGUAGCGGUGAAAUGCGCAGAUAUCAGGAAGAACACCUAUGGCGAAGGCAGCACUCUGGGAAGUUCCUGACGCUCGGGUGCGAAAGCCAGGGGAGCGAACGGG
rnacentral:rRNA from 1 species